rnacentral:tRNA from 1 species
GGCGACGUGGGUGAGUGGUCAAAGCCAAAGGUCUGCAAAACCUUAAGCCGCAAGUUCGAAUCUUGCCGUCGCCU